UGUGAGGUAUAGACGGGGAUGCUGGAUGGCCUUUUGUUGCCUUUGAUCUUGAUCCAUCUGUCGUAAAUGCAUCUAGCAAACUUGGUUUCCCAAUCCUGUAUGGAGAUGGAUCGCGUGCUGCUGUUUUACAGUCUGCUGGUAUAUCUUCUCCAAAAGCGGUCAUGGUUAUGUAUGAAGGAAGACAGAAGGCACGUGAAGGUGUUGAAAGGAUUCGCUUUGCAUUCCCU